rnacentral:rRNA from 1 species
CAGCAGCCGCGGUAAUACGGAGGGUGCAAGCGUUAAUCGGAAUUACUGGGCGUAAAGCGUGCGUAGGUGGUGGUUUAAGUCCGUUGUGAAAGCCCUGGGCUCAACCUGGGAAUUGCAGUGGAUACUGGGUCACUAGAGUGUGGUAGAGGAUAGUGGAAUUUCCGGUGUAGCAGUGAAAUGCGUAGAGAUCGGAAGGAACAUCUGUGGCGAAGGCGACUAUCUGGGCCAACACUGACACUGAGGCACGAAAGCGUGGGGAGCAAACAGGAUUAGAUACCCCGGUAGUCCCUGUCUCUUAUAC